rnacentral:rRNA from 1 species
UGGGGGAUAUUGCACAAUGGGCGCAAGCCUGAUGCAGCGACGCCGCGUGGGGGAUGAAGGCCUUCGGGUUGUAAACUUCUUUUGCUCUGAACAAGGCGCACUUUGGGGUGUGUUGAGUGUAGGGGUUGAUUAGCGCCGGCUAACUACGUGCCAGCAGCCGCGGUAAUACGUAGGGCGCGAGCGUUGUCCGGAAUUAUUGGGCGUAAAGGGCUUGUAGGUGGCUGGUUGCGUCUGUCGUGAAAGCUCAUGGCUUAACUGUGGGUUUGCGGUGGGUACGGGCUGGCUUGAGUGCAGUAGGGGAGGCUGGAAUUCCUGGUGUAGCGGUGGAAUGCGCAGAUAUCAGGAUGAAUACCGGUGGCGAAGGCGGGUCUCUGGGCUGUUACUGACACUGAGGAGCGAAAGCAUGGGGAGCGAACAGG